GUUCUCUGUUGUGUGAUCCCAAUCCAGAUGAUCCUUUAGUGCCUGAGAUUGCACGGAUCUACAAAACAGAUAGAGAAAAGUACAACAGAAUAGCUCGGGAAUGGACUCAGAAGUAUGCGAUGUAAUUAAAGAAAUUAUUGGAUAACCUCUACAAAUAAAGAUAGGGGAACUCUGAAAGAGAAAGUCCUUUUGAUUUCCAUUUGACUGCUUUCUAUGAGCCCACGCCUCAUCUUCCCCUGUGCACAUGUUUACCUGAUACAGCAGUGCUGCGUGUUGUACAUACUUGGAACAACAAAAUAGAAAUACUGUAUUUCCCCGUACCAACAUUGACUCCUAGCAGAGAAGUGUGUGUGUGAAAAGCUGGUUCUUCAGUCAUAACUUUGUGAGCCUAAAAGCAUUCCUUGUUGAUUUAAAUUGGGUAAUAAAAUGUGAAUGGGCGAGUUAUGGUGGAUUUCAUAUUUUUAGGGACAGUGUUGCUGAUCCGUGAAGGACUUUAAGUGGAAUCCUUUUAAACUCAUAAGUUAUGAAAAGCAAGGUGAAGAACUUGAAGCUGUUUCUGUAUUCAUUUUAUUCUGAAGGACCUACACCUUAGGUAAAUGUUAUGACCAAUGAGAUAAACUGUACCCACAUCCUGUGUUUAAGGUCUAAGUUUAACCGGUCAACAUUUAAAUGGAUUGGAGCUAUUAGUGCAUCAAGUGAUGUUGAUUUGUUUCAACUCUCUCCCCUCCUUCAUACUUUUUUUGGUUUGUAUGUGGUUUCUCAGUUAAUACAUAGCUAAUAGCUCUUAUUUUACUUAAGUUUUUUAACUGCUUAGGUCUUUCUGGAUGUAAGGGUAAAAAUCCAUUUGACAGAAAACUUGUGUAUAUUUAAAGACCCAGCUGCUCCCCUGGAGCUUGUAUGUUCAAGAAUGAUUAAUCUGUGUAAUAAACUGAUUACUACAGUCAUUACAUAUAA